UACGGAGGUGGCAAGCGUUGCUCGGAAUCACUGGGCGUAAAGGGCGCGUAGGCGGCGCGGUAAGUCGGGUGUGAAAUCUCGGAGCUUAACUCCGAAACUGCAUUUGAUACUGCCGUGCUUGAGGACUGGAGAGGAGAUUGGAAUUUACGGUGUAGCAGUGAAAUGCGUAGAUAUCGUAAGGAAGACCAGUGGCGAAGGCGAAUCUCUGGACAGUUACUGACACUGAGGCACGAAGGCCAGGGGAGCAAACGGG
rnacentral:rRNA from 1 species